AACUAACUAGGAUUCCCUCAGUAGCGGCGAGCGAAGAGGGAAGAGCCCAGCGCCGAAUCCCCGUCCGACGGGCGGGCGCGGGAAAUGUGGCGUACGGAAGAUCGCUUGCUCGGUGUCGCUCGGGGGCCUGAGUCCUUCUGAUCGAGGCUCAGCCCGUGGACGGUGUGAGGCCGGUAACGGCCCCCGUCGCGCCGGGGUCCGGUCUUCUCGGAGUCGGGUUGUUUGUGAAUGCAGCCCAAAGCGGGUGGUAAACUCCAUCUAAGGCUAAAUACCGGCACGAGACCGAUAGUUUACAAGUACCGUAAGGGAAAGUUGAAAAGAACUUUG
rnacentral:rRNA from 1 species